CCACCUGAUUAAAGAUCUGGGGGCGGUCCCUAUGAAAGAGGAUAUAGUGUGUGAAACUGCAGCCUUCCCUAGGACACUCAAACAUUCCUGCUAUACAGAGAUGGAUGCUGAAGCUAGCAGAACGAUGGAGGUCGCGACGCUCGGCCGGCCCUUCAGCCUUGGGAUGCUGUAUGACUGCCGCCAGGAUUUAGUCAUACCUGGGUCGCGGGGGGCGCUGGAGCCUAUCCCAGCUGUCACAGGGCGAGAGGCGGGGUACACCCU